AAAAAUGUUUAACAUUCAACAUACAUUAUAAAAACUUGAAAUCAAAUUAUAGUUGAAACUCACAACAUAAAAAUACAAAUCAAAAAGUCCUAGAGUUAAUAAGUUGAUAAUUUGAUCACAGGUUGAGCCUUUGGGAUGGGCUCUUUCCUUAGCUUCUUAACUUCUUCUUUAGCCAACAAAUCAACAAAAAAAUGCAAGAAUCGAUUGUAAAAACUUCUCAAAACUAGUUAACCUCUCGCUACGACCAAGCUUCGUCAAGAAGGGAAAAAUGUACCUCACUAUUACACUCAGCACAUUCAAUAGCCCUAAUGUCACUGUGCAGUACCGGAUGCACGGGCCUUGGAGGACAACUACCAAAAAAUAGCAAAGUAUUGAAUUUCGACUAGAAAGUUAAAAUGUGUUGUAAUAAUUACUUGUAAGUAGUAUAGUAUCGUGUCUACAAAGCUGAAGUCCCAAAGAACAGAAGAUCUCUUCAUGAGAUGAUUAUCACAUUUCUGCAUACAGUAUAUAGCAAUUUAUCAUGAAAG
rnacentral:lncRNA from 1 species